rnacentral:lncRNA from 1 species
AUCUCCUGGAGGGGAAAGUACGGAGGCGGGCGGGGAAGGAGGAGUUCCUGCCUCAAAUUAGCGUCGGAAGCUCUUCCCAGCUGUGAGGACCGUGGGGCCGCUAGCUGAGCUCGCCCUCCACACGGAGGGACCCGGUUCGCCGUGGCUUUGAUGGUCAGGAGGCGCCUCUGAAAGGCGAAUGGUGUAGCCGGCCCUGGAGAACUCGGCUAGGUGGAGCCCCUGGAUGGGCGUGCCGCGCCUCGGCGCUCCGCUUCAGGAGCCCCUCUUCGUUACGCGGGCGCUAAGAAACUUAACCCUGAAACUGAGCUCGCUCCUCCUGACCGGUGCUUAUCUAGAUGCUGUUACCCGACCUGGACCCGCCUCCCUGCCUGCUCUCCUGAAUUAACUACCCUUCCAGACCGUGUUAGGAGGCCACAUCCUUUCUGAAACAGUAUGUCCUUCCCAAAGCUAGUCCACUGUACUCUUCUUUCCUGCAAAGGCUCAACCGUUUCUUUAAAGCCUUCAUGGUUGUAUUGUUCUGCAAACUUGAACUUGAUUACCAACCCGCAGCCAGUCGUUCCCACAUGUCAGCACCCGGACUGGUGGUAUCAGAAACCCCUGAGGAGCCCGACCCCAGAUAUUACGUCUGGAUUAGGGCCAAGGAAUCUGCCUUUUAGCAGGCCUCCAAUUUAUGCCUCCUUGAUCCUGAGCCAGCUCUGGAUUCUUGGCUUUUGUCUCUUAAUAUUGCCUUCCAUUAAGUCCUGGACGAACUCCAGACUUCUCUAGACACCCCUCCCCCAGUCCCCAAAUUCUUUUUUUUUAAUUUAUUUAUUUUUGGCUGCGUUGGAUCUUCAUUGCUGCGCGCAGGCUUUCUCUAGCUGCGGCGAGCGGGGGCUACUCUUAGUUGCGGUACACAGGUUCUCUUGUUGCGGAGCACGGGCUCUAGGCGCGCGGGCUUCAGUAGUUGUGGUUCGCGGGCUCUAGAGCGCAGGCUCAGUAGUUGUGGCUCGCGGGCUCUAGAGUGCAGCCUCAGUAGUUGUGGCGCACGGGCUUAGUUGCUCCGCGGCAUGUGGGAUCGUCCCGGACCGGGGCACGAACCCGUGUCCCCUGCAUUGGCAGGUGGACUCCCAACCACUGCGCCACCAGGGAAGUCCCCCCAAAUUCUUAAGGUCCCCACUUACAGGUUAUAGUUUUCCCAAGAAUUUCCAGAUUUGAUUAAAUUAUAAACUUAACCUGCCAGCCUCACACCUUAGAGAUUUUGAUUUGAAAUGGAUCACCUGCCCAGCACUGAAGACUUCACACUGAGUCAUAAGCAUGAAAAAUAGGAAACUUAUGGAGAGAAAUGUAGACCUGAAUUUAGGGAUUUGAGUGCAUUGAAUAUAACUGACGCUACUUCUGUGGCAAGAUAUGGGCCUCCAUGUGCCCUGUAACUGGAAACCCCUCUCCCUGGAGAGAGGCUUACAUAAAGCUAUGAUUACUAUGAUGCCCUUCUGAAGAACUUAUUGAUUGACCUCUGGCCCUAUAGGACUCAUCCCCCCGCACCCUGCCUUUUCCUGCCCUCUUAACUUCUAAGUAUAUAAAUUAUAGGAAAGAAUUUACUAUUUUCUGGGUGCAAGUUGACUUCCCAGUUGACAUGCAAUAGUGUGGCUUUCUCUGGGCUACCAUUCACCGCUUACCCUUCCUAGUGACAUAUACAAAUCACUAAGAUAGGAAGUUCACGAAUUGGGAGGACAGGGCUUUCCAUCCUUCCUAAGGGAGCUCUCUGCCCAUAUUAUACAGCUGCCUGCCUUGCUCCCAGGAAAGAACAAUGCUGUGAUUCCUAGGCCAC